GGAUCUCUGGCUGGAGAUCCAUCUUUGGUGGAGCUUUCUCGUGCAAACCUGGAGUCUUCUGAUAUGGAUUUGUCUAUGGGGAUUGUUUGCCGGAGGGGAAUUGUGACAUGCAGGACUGUAACUGCUGAAAUCCUGAGAAAGAUGAUCAUUUGGAGAAGUUUAGGGUAAUCUUGCAGAAGGGCAGAGCAUCAGUUCUGCUCAGGUUUGCUGUGUGUUGGGAGCUUCUCCUCGGUCAUCCAUAGAAGAUAUGAAGCAUCCUGCCUUCUCUCCCACUGUGACAAGAGCCGUGCCCCGAGAGCUGUAGAUGGAAAUGUAGUUCAAACCACAGCAUGACCGUCCAUUCGUCUGCUUAUUUGUGAAAGCUGUUGGUGAGGCAGUGGGAGGUGUGGGACUGAGGAUGGAGCAGGGAGAGCCAUGAGAGCAGCAGGAGACAGCGCUGGGAGCAUCAGAUGGAGCUGUUUGUUUCACACUACUGAAGCUUGCACUUGGAUCCAAAUCAAAAUACAGGAGAGCUUUGCUGCAGAACACCACAUCUAGCCCUGGCAUCGGAAGAGCACUUAGCAACAGCAAAGCCUUCCAUUCUGAGAUGGCUGCUCUGUGGGAAGCAGUUCAGUACAUCCAAAUGUUCACUGCUCGGUUCUUCACUGAGAGGAGAGGAAACAUUCACUCCAUGGUCCUCUGGUGUCUGUGACUUUGUUCAGUGUUGCUCUCCUGCAUUAUAGAGUUCUACUCGUCAGUAACUUCCAUCACUGCAGACCCAAACACUUGCAAAGAACACAAGUGCUGGCAUUUCCUUUUUAAGGAGGAGUGCAUCAAAGUGCCAGGAGCACGGCCUGGUCCCAGCAAAGCAGUGGCAGAACUGGAACAGUGUGUGACAUAACUGAGUGCUGUGGGCUCACAGUGCCUUGGAGCAGUGUGGGAGCUGCAAAGAGUCCUUCGUCCUUUCCAGUUCCUCUCUGAGAAGUCACUGGUGUUUGGUGCCAUCCAGAGAGCAAGUAUGGGAUCAAGAAAUACUUUUUCUCUAGGGUGUUAUUAUGUACUGUGGGGCUCCUCUUUCUGAUGUUUGAAGUACUGAAGCUGUGUGUAAAGUUGCCAUUUAUCUGUGCUUUUGUUUAGGAUGUUAACAUAAUAGAGUGGCUUCUUCAGGAGCUGUGUUCUUGACCACACUCUGAGCUGCUGUAAAUGCAGCAUCCAUCCACAGGUCAGGGAAAGCUGUUCAGAAUUUGUGAUGCACAAAUAAACAGCUGUUUGUCCAUUACAAAUAGCAUCCAGUUUUUGUGGAGUCUUCAAGAAAAAAUGAUUAUCUACUGCAACAUUAAGCUUAAUUAUAUCCCUGAGUUUCUGGGCAGUGUGUUAAGUGUGUCCUGUCUUUUGUUCUCUCACUGAAUACAUCACAGUGUGGUGGUCUUAACAAAAAAAGACAUUGUUUCUAUCUAAAGACUUCCUACUGGAAAAUGACAUCUUCAGGGUUCAUCUAUGGAGGGGAGGUUUGCUCAGCUCUAUGUGUACCCUCAGAACAAGAAGCAAAUGGCUCUCUAUUACCUCCUAAUAGAUGCUCUCCUAAAACCUUCAUUCUCUGCUUUGUGGCAGAAAAAUUAUCAGUGAUGCUUCCUGGGAGCAGCGUAUCUUCGUAUCUGUCAGAACUCCGUGCCAUUUUCUGAUCUCCAUUGGUACCAUUUUGGUGAGGAUGGAGAAUUCAGUGUGGGGAGGAAAAAGAGAAGGCUGUAGACUGGAAUGCUGAUUGUGAAAUCACAGAGAAACAAAUCUAAGCUUGGGAAUGGCAUCUCCUUGUGAAUUUGUGCUACCAUCUCUAGGGACUGCGUUUGAUCAGGGAAUGUGGAGCACUACCGCACAAACAGCCCUUGCUGCCAUGAGGAGCCCUGGGCCUCUCCAGCCCACUGCUGUCUUUCUCGGGAGGCACAAGCACAGCCCAUGCACUGCUCAGUGCUGUGAGAUGGACUUCACCAAAGCAAACCUCGACCUCAGCAGUGCAGUGAGGUUACUGCUUCCUGCUCGAGUCAGCAUUGCUCAUUAUUUCAGCCCUGAUGGCGGUGUUUGGUUACUGUGCUCCCGCCAAUGUAAUUAUACCCAGUUGUAAAGACGUGCCUCAGUGCAAGUUUUAAAUUACAUCUGAAUUCUUUCAGGAAGUGUUUCUCUCUUGUUGCCUCUGAGCAGAGGAAGGAUGCUGCUGGGGAUCAGCAAGGUGCAGGAGUGCCCAACAGAGAGCAUCUCCUUUGCAUUUCCUCCUCCUGUGACACAUAACAGCAUAGUGUUAUUUCAAACUUUCGUGAGGAACACAGACCCACUCUGGUGGGUCCCUGCAGUUGCUGCGUUGGGGUUGGGAGAGUCAUGGUGUAAACCAUCCCAAUGAGCCAUUCUGUGCUGGCACAGAGGAACAGAACUGCCCAGCAUCCUCCGUGGUUUGUGUUAACUGACUGCUGUGAGUUUGGAUUCUGAGUGCUGAACACCAAAUACUUAUGAAAUGUAAUGGCCAAGACUAAAUACAUUCAUUA